UGUAAAGCUCUUUCACCCACGACGAUAAUGACGGUAGUGGGAGAAGAAGCCCCGGCUAACUUCGUGCCAGCAGCCGCGGUAAUACGAAGGGGGCUAGCGUUGUUCGGAUUUACUGGGCGUAAAGCGUACGUAGGCGGACCGUUAAGUCGGAGGUGAAAUCCUGGGGCUCAACCCCAGAACUGCCUUCGAUACUGGCGGUCUCGAGUCCGGGAGAGGUGAGUGGAACUGCCAGUGUAGAGGUGAAAUUCGUAGAUAUAGGCAAGAACACCAGUGGCGAAGGCGGCUCACUGGCCCGGUACUGACGCUGAGGUACGAAAGCGUGGGGAGCAAACAGGAUUAGAUACCCUGGUAGUCCACGCUGUAAACGAUGGAAGCCAGCCGUCGGGCA
rnacentral:rRNA from 1 species